UUAACGAUUGUAUAAUGCUCAGACAACAAUGAUAAACAGAAUGUAAAAUAUCCUCUGACGGGCACACACCAGCAUAGGCCGGUGGAGGACUGACAGCCCCACGGCCCGCCAAAGCAACAGCGUGAUGUAAACACAGGGUGGAGAAUCGCCCACUGUGGGGCUUAUUUCUCUAAUGAUCCUUCCGCAGGUUCACCUACGGAAA
rnacentral:misc_RNA from 1 species